AACGAACGCUGGCGGCAUGCCUAACACAUGCAAGUCGAACGAGACCUUCGGGUCUAGUGGCGCACGGGUGCGUAACGCGUGGGAAUCUGCCCUUGGGUUCGGAAUAACUCGCCGAAAGGCGUGCUAAUACCGGAUGAUGUCGUAAGACCAAAGAUUUAUCGGAAUUAGAUGAGCCCGCGUGAGAUUAGCUAGUUGGUGGGGUAAUGGCCUACCAAGGCGACGAUCUCUAGCUGGUCUGAGCGGAUGAUCAGCCACACUGGGACUGAGACACGGCCCAG
rnacentral:rRNA from 1 species